AGAGAACAGAGUGACCAGCUGCCGCUUGGCGAAGAACUCGUACCCGUCCUCCACCACCUGACGCACACAGGAACAGGAAGUUCAACUCAUAUCGGAAACAUUAAACCAAACAAAAACGAAGAACACACACAGACUCAGAGUCCUGCUGCCAUCUAAUGAGGGACACGUGGAACUGCGUCCAAACUACAUUCUACAGAGAGCUUCGAUUUGGAACAACUUGGAUUUAUGGCUUUGAUUUUCGAGCGGAUUUAGAGUUCAGUGUGUUUCAGAAAAGAUAUAUUUCUGUAAUUAGGAAAUCGUGUAUUAAUUGCUUCCUCGUUUUGGUUAAAGCCUGUGUUAUUUCAAGAAAAACUAAUUAAACCUGGUAUUUCCCGU